AUAUUUUAAUAAUAUAUAUUCAAUGUGGAAAAGAAAGUCCAUUCAUCCAUCCAUGUUCUACCGCUUAUUCCCUUUCGGGGUCACGGGGGGCGCUGGCGCCUAUCUCAGCUACAAUCGCUCAUUAAACAAAAUAGAAAAGGACACCAAAACGCAUCAAUUGAAUUAGUUUUAAUCAGCCCCUUAAUUCCCCUAGCAGCUAUAAAAUGUUGUUGAAUAGACGAUAUUUCAAAAAUCCAAAAAUGUUGACACACGUAGCACGGAGGAUUCUCGUCUGUGCAGCACAAGCAUUGAUCCUGCAGCCGUGUGUGGUACUGUCAGUUUGCCCAAAAUACAACGCAAAAUAGUGCUCACAAAACAGUAAUUAGUGUUGAUAAAUCACAUUGCGCGUGCUAAUUAUAUUUGCAUUUUGUCCUCAGUAUUGUGGUCAUUUUUAUGAUCAACAUAUAUUUGGCAUAUUAAUGAAGACAGAGACACAAAAUAGAUUGUGCGCCUUAUUCAGCUUGCUCACUUAAAAGACACAAUCCACUUUGCACAAACUUAACACAUGCAAAGAGGAUCUACUAUCAAGUUUGCACAUAUUUUAGUACAAGCAAACCUUUAGUAAAUCAGGGCCUGUGUCCAACUCCAACCUGAAGAAUAGGAUUGCACUUUGUCAGGCCUCCACCUUCAUACCUGUUCAACUUGGGCGUCUCAUUUGAAGACUAAGCCCCCGCUGGUAGCUCUCAACCACAAAAAGGUGGCAUUCUCUCAGGGGGAAACUAAAAAAAUGAAAGUAAAAUAAAUAAAUUAAAUGAUCCUUUAUCUACAUUUUAUCAAGUAUCGCAACAUUUAUCUUCAUUUGAUGGCCUAAUUCUUAAACUGAAUUUAACCUUUAGUAGGACUUCACACACAGUAGUCAAUAUUAACAAAAUGGAAAGGCACAGUAGUCUUACAAAUAUUACAAAAACAUUCUCCUCAAACUAGUUUAUCCUCAGGUCAGAUGAAUUAUGCCUCACAGUUUCUGAAUUCUCCACACAUUUUCUCUCUCAGACACACAAAGAGAAACUUAAUAGCACCGCCUACACUCUAGACAUAGUAAUGUUUCUUUUCAAGUUGAGUUUUACUGUACCAACUAAUUAGGAGUCAACAGUUCACCUUGUUGUUUUAAAAUUCUAUUUAUUUCAUUGUGUUUACUGACCUCUUGUUUUUUAACUAUAUUUCAUUGUGUUCUCUGAACACUAAGCAUGUUAACACUUUCAGCGUGAGAAGGUUCACGUUGUAUACUAACAGACAGAAAGCAAGACAUGUAGAAUAUUACAGCGUGGGGAAAUAAUGGUAGCCUACAUACUUGUUUUCAUCACCGUUUAAACAGGACGAGCAACAGUUGCUCUUUUUGAUUGUACAGCAAAUUUCGACACAGCACCUGAAGCAGCAAACACACACCGCUUUAACUUACGGUUGUGUAAUGUCCCAAACGAUGGCUCACCUGUUGAUGGCAUCAUAUUGCGACAAAAGUAAAUUGUGUCCUCCUCACUUGCUAAGGUGUUCACUUAUUACAAUGUAGAAGACUUUAAAUACACAGCGUUUUGUUUAGGCGCCGCCGGUGAUAAAUUUAACUUAAUCUUUUGACAAUAAAAAGUACCUGGUUGGGCUCUCCUUUGUUGCUGAACCCCACCCUCUCUCAUAUUGUACGCUAUUAAAGAACUGUGAUCGGGUAUAUUCUGAAUUUGGCCCACUAACCUACAAGACGAUAUUAAAUAUGAUUGGAUUUUGUUUCUGACAACUUUUCGUCUCGUUUUAAAUUUGUCGCCACUGGUUUACUGAGGGCUGCGGGGAGGAGCGUGUCUUUGUGUGCGCACAGACUUGCAGAGCCUCUGAGCCGAAAGACCGAGAAGAGGUAAGGUGAUAACAUACGAGUGUUAUAGCGUGUUCCUUUUUCAGUGGAUUUCUAAAUGACUGCCGAUAAUUUUGGCAACUUGUCGUAUACCUAAUCAGUGGCCUAGUGGUUAGAGUGUCCGCCCUGAGAUCGGUAGGUUGUGAGUUCAAACCCCGGCCGAGUCAUACCAAACUCUAUAAAAAAAAUGGGAGCCAUUAUCUCCCUGCUUGGCACUCAGCAUCAAGGGUUGGAAUUGGGGGUUAAACCACCAUAAAUGAUUCCCGGGCGCGGCACCGCUGCUGCCCACUGCUCCCCUCACCUCCCAGCAGGUGAUCAAGGGGAUGGGUCAAAUGCAGAGGACAAAUUUCACCACACCUAGUUUGUGUGACAAUCAUUGGUACUUUAACUGUAUAUAUACAUUUUGUGGGUUUAUUAAAAUAUAAUUCCUCAACUUCAAACAUUUUGAUUUGCAGGGGCACAACGUUUAUUUGAGGGGGCUCAGCCCCCUCUUUUCCCUAGUUAGAGCCGGGCCUGCUUGAUGUUUUUUGACAAUGGACCUGGCAACAAAAAAGUGCCUCUUGACUUCCUGCCAACAGUCUUUCCUUUCUGCUGAGCUUUAUCUCAUCUCACUAAACCGGUUACAGUAACAUUCUGCAUUUAAUGUUAUCAAUGCACCAAACACAAAAGCAAUGCUCCACCUCUCUGAUUGCAAGCGCUCCAGCAGGCAUUGGCUCCAGUGAUUGCUGUGACGGUAGAACGACUUGAUAUGGCUUUGGUUCUGAGCUUUCCAUAAUGUACCCUUUUCUGUUUUCACCUCACAACUUUUAUGGCAUGAAGCUUAACCCAGAUUCACUUUCUCACGCAACAGAAUGGACUGAGGGUUAGACAAGAUGCGUACACAAUCACACAUCAAAAUAAUUUGCACCGUUUAAGGAAAUUGUAGUUAAAUGCGUUAAAUUUGACAGCCUUAGUUAAAAAACAACAACCUCCUAGUUUUACCUGUUGUCAAGUGUAGGUAAAUGACAAUAUGUGCAACCUUGGAUAAUAUUUGGAAAAAUAAGUCUUACCCAUCCAGACCCUUCCAUGUUAUUGCGCCUUUACAGAUUUUCAGCAAGAAUGCCUCGUCCCACAUCUGUAAAUCAAGCAAAGUUGUUACUCUUACCUGCUACCUGCUCCCUCUUAAAAAGGAUCUCCCCCCACCUGUCCAGGAACUAGUCUUUCGUUCGCUAGCAGAUAGCUCACUAGCAGGCGUGACACUGCAAGCUUCCUCCAUGUUGGUGUUGUGUUCCAUGCUGCCUCCUCUUCCCUUCUCUCUCUGUCACAAUGCUGACUGGUCCACUGUGCUGGCGCUGAAGAUGUGCUGUCUGACCGCCAUCUGCAUCUUCCACACUAGCGAUGCUGCAGGCGAUUGUGGCUCCUAUUAUCAUACAUUGCGCAAAACAAAGGGGAUGGAUGGCCGGGGCCUACCCACAAUUCCCUUGUCCAUAAAUACAUACAUAAGGUACUCUAACACAUACUCAUGACGCACUGAUCCUCAUGUUACUUUAUAAAACAAUUUUAUUUGAUCACGUCAGCUGAUGGAAAUAUUUGAACAGACUACAGUUCCCUAAUCUUAAUUUCUUUGAGGGACCUGUGUUACUGGGCUUCACACACACACACAAUCAAAAACAUACUUGCAAGAAAUAAUUUUUCCAACACAAUUGUAAGGGGUCUAACUCAACUGUGCUAAGUGACAAGAACUAGGUUAAAAAGACUGAUAAACAGAAAGCUAAACCGUGUAUGACAAUGCGGUCUUUAGCUUGGAUAAAAAAAAAAAUCAAAAAUCAAAUGAUGCUUAACCCCUGACACCGCAAGCACGAUACGCAUCACCUCAGACGCACAAAGGGGAAAAGUUGCUUCGCAGGCAAACAUCUAUGACAAUAAGAUCAGGGAAUCAUGUCUUCAUUAUAAUGUACAGUCCUUCUUCAAUAAACAUGUCCCAGUUAGCUGU